rnacentral:misc_RNA from 1 species
AAGUCGUAACAAGGUUUCCGUAGGUGAACCUGCGGAAGGAUCAUUAACACGUAUCCAACGUUUAAUCACCCCGUGCACUUUCAUUGUUAAACCGGCGCCUGAAGACGGUAUCCGGAUUGACAUGGUUAUGAAAUACCACUACUCUUGACAUGGAUUUAGAGGACUGGUAGGUUAGCUGGAGAGACUUCUGGCCGGUUCUGAUGCGGGGCUAGUGACACUCCGUGGGUCCUCCUAGGGAGGGAACAUCCCGAAGGGUGUGUGCGAAGCUUGCCAAAAGCGUCGCAUUAGCGCCAUAGUACAGGUUGGAAGGGCCAUUGGUGCAUGUCGUAAAAAACUGCCAGUGGCACUGACCCUCCGCAAACUUUGGCAACUUUGCAGACUCGACUAGCCCUUGUGGCAACCUCUCGAACAACUGUUAACAAUGGAUAUCUUGGCUCUC